UAUCAUUAACUGAAUCCAUAGGUUAAUGAGGCGAACCGGGGGAACUGAAACAUCUAAGUACCCCGAGGAAAAGAAAUCAACCGAGAUUCCCCCAGUAGCGGCGAGCGAACGGGGAGGAGCCCAGAGCCUGAAUCAGCAUGUGUGUUAGUGGAAGCGUCUGGAAAGGCGCGCGAUACAGGGUGACAGCCCCGUACACAAAAGCGCAUGUGCUGUGAGCUCGAUGAGUAGGGCGGGACACGUGGUAUCCUGUCUGAAUAUGGGGGGACCAUCCUCCAAGGCUAAAUACUCCUGACUGACCGAUAGUGAACCAGUACCGUGAGGGAAAGGCGAAAAGAACCCCGGCGAGGGGAGUGAAAAAGAACCUGAAACCGUGUACGUACAAGCAGUGGGAGCCCCACCACCAAAGCAUUUGCUGUACCGCGUUGACGGAGCGAAGCGACGUCAAACCGAUAAAACAGCAGUGUAAAGUGAGCCGCAGGGCGCUUUGCGCGACAGCGCAAAGGCAGGCGGUUUCGCGUAGCGAAAGCGAAUGCUUUGGGGUGG
rnacentral:rRNA from 1 species